UAGGGAAUCUUCCACAAUGGGCGCAAGCCUGAUGGAGCAACACCGCGUGAGUGAAGAAGGGUUUCGGCUCGUAAAGCUCUGUUGUUGGAGAAGAACGUACCUGAGAGUAAC
rnacentral:rRNA from 1 species